UCGUAACCAUCAAAAUGACGCGGCUGCAGCUCUACGUCGGGGGAGUUAUGCAUCCGUCCCACCAUAACUGCGACCCCAAAUCACCACACAGUAUCCUGCUGGUGGGCUUUGGAUUCAGUAAUAAUUCCUCUCACUGGAUCCUGAAGAAUUCUUGGGGCCCGGGAUGGGUAGAGAAGG